GUGAUCCCUUUGGCAACAUACACACUAAAAUUGCAACAAUGUAGAGAAGAUUAGCAUGGCCCCUGCACAAGGAUGACACACAAAUUCAUGAGAUGUUUACUAUUUUC